NNNGCGUGUGUGCGGGGCCUGGGUGCCUGAGCCUGUGCGUGUGUGUGUCUGUGUGUGUCUGUGUGCGCGCGUGUGCGCGCGGGUUGGCGAGGGCGCGUGUGCGCGUGUCUGCGCUCUGGGCCGCUCGGCGCGCUCGGCAAUCGAUUACAGGACAAGUGCUGCCCGGCGGCUCCGCGACGCGCGCACUCCCUCGCGCCCACCCGCGCGCCCGGCCGCGUCGUCCCCGGCCCUGCGGCCCCCCAGACGGCCGACCCCGCCCCCAAGGGGGGGGGACCAGGUAACCUGCUUCCGAGACUGCCAUGGCGACACCCCACCCGCUCCCCCCAAGUCUCAAUCAAUCUCACGUUUUCUGCCGGCUGGGAAGGAAGGAUUGGAGCGGUGAGGGGAGGUUCAUUUCGGCCGCUUGAAGUUUUCUUUCCAACUGGGAUUUGUGGCGAGGCCGGGCGGAGGGAGCGGGACGACGACCCGGGCGCCCGACGCGGAGCUCAGGCAUCGGCGUCCUGGCCGGAGCCGGGGUGUGCGCCUGGACCCACCCACUCAGGCUUCGCAAUAAACUGUGCGGUGCAAUUCAGAAAACGGCACCGGGGAGUCCAGGACGCGAAUCAGGAUGAAUUGAGGGAAUGAAUUGAGAAGGAAAUUCAGGUCUGAGAUGAAGCUCAACUAUUUUGAAAGUGCUUUGCAGUGCAAGUUUAAAAUUAGAGUGUUGACUUGCUUUUACUCCCCAGGGCUUGUGCCGCAUUCACCAAAGUCAAAGGAGCGGGUGAGGGUCCAAAAAGUUGGUCCGGGGGAAGUGUCGCCGUCACUACCAGAUCAUGGUAUGUCCAACUCACCCCAAAGAAAUCAAGGUUAUGUUUACAUACUAAACCAGGGGUUCUAUUUCAUCCUCUGCAGUCGAAUAAUCCUGGCUCUGAGACUCACAAUUGUACAUGUAGAAAGGAACCUUUGUAUAAACUUUAGUAAUUCACUGCGUUCACAGUUUUUCUCUACAGUAUUUUUAUAGUGGUUAGAGGAUGUAUUUAUUUCCAUCCUUUGCUGUAACUACUCUACACACAUUUUAAAAGUACGUAUAUGGUUAUACUAUGAGUAAAAAUGUAUCACUAGGGAAGUGCAGUACCAUAUAAAUAUUCACUUUGGGGGAUUAGCGAGGCGGUGGGAGAAAACAUACCCACACCCACCAUUUUUCAAAUAGCUGCUUCUUUCUCAUUUCUUUUUGUCCCAUCCCACCGAAACUGUGCCUACCCAGCGCCAACCCUUAUCUUAGCUUUUUGCACAUUUCUUUCAUUAUACAACUUGUAAAUUUUUUUAUUUGUUGAGAUUUAAAAGAAAAUAUGUCUCCCCCCCAACUAGAAUGUCAUCUUUUUAAGAGCAGAGAUUAUGUCUGUCCUGCUAACAAUUGUUUUCUCAGAACUAGCACAGUGUUUGGCACAUCAGUCCUCAAUAAACUUUUACUAAAUGGAUGAAUGUAGAGCUAAUCACAUAUUCACCUAGCUUUGUGUGUUAAACUGUUUUUAAGGGACAAAAAGUGUAGGAUAACAAAGAUAUAUUCUAAUUCCAUAAAGAUUUUGGUCAAGUCUUGACUCAUGAGUAAUGUUACCAACAUCAUUAACAGGUCAACUCUCUGGCUUAUGUUCAUGUGAAGAAUGUGAAUACGUUCAUAGAUAAUAUAACUUUUAUAAAUAUAAAGAGAAAGAGGGGUUAAAAUUGCGUAUCAAAUAUAAUUUUGUGUAAAAUGCCUUUAUGUUACCGCUCUGUUUCAUAAACAAAUUAUUUCAUGUUAAUGCCUGGUAAUUUAUAAACUAGGUUCACAAAGAAUGCAACAAUUUAUUCUGUAAUUGCUAAAUGCAAUUAGCAAAAGAAACUUUUUAAAAGGCAGUGUAGGUAAAAGGUACAUUAUGAAGUAUUUGUUUUCGUUCGAUGGCAUGUUUCAUCUGUGUUAGAUUUAAAAUCCCUAGUACCUUUUAAAGAAAUUUUAAUAAAAGUGAAUUUAACAAAAAUUUGUUCAAGGAAUUCAUUCCAUGUUUUUAACUUUUG
rnacentral:lncRNA from 1 species